rnacentral:rRNA from 1 species
UACGAAGGGUGCAAGCGUUAAUCGGAAUUACUGGGCGUAAAGCGUGCGCAGGCGGUUCGUUAAGUCAGAUGUGAAAGCCCCGGGCUCAACCUGGGAACUGCAUUUGAAACUGGCGGGCUUGAGUGUGGCAGAGGGGGGUGGAAUUCCGCGUGUAGCAGUGAAAUGCGUAGAGAUGCGGAGGAACACCGAUGGCGAAGGCAGCCCCCUGGGCCAACACUGACGCUCAGGCACGAAAGCGUGGGGAGCAAACAGG